AACGAACGCUGGCGGCAUGCCUAACACAUGCAAGUCGAACGAGACCUUCGGGUCUAGUGGCGCACGGGUGCGUAACGCGUGGGAACCUGCCCUUAGGUUCGGAAUACCUCCCCGAAAGGGGUGCUAAUACCGGAUAAUGUCUUCGGACCAAAGAUUUAUCGCCUUUGGAUGGGCCCGCGUUGGAUUAGCUAGUUGGUAGGGUAAAAGCCUACCAAGGCGACGAUCCAUAGCUGGUCUGAGAGGAUGAUCAGCCACACUGGGACUGAGACACGGCCCAGACUCCGACGGGAGGCAGCAGUGGGGAAUAUUGGACAAGGGGCGAAAGCGUGAUCCAGCAAUGCCGCGUGAGUGAUGAAGGCCUUAGGGUUGUAAAGCUCUUUUACCCGGGAUGAUAAUGACAGUACCGGGAGAGUAAGCACCGGCUAACUACGUG
rnacentral:rRNA from 1 species